rnacentral:rRNA from 1 species
GAUGAACGCUAGCGGCAGGCUUAAUACAUGCAAGUCGUGGGGCAGCAUGGUGUAGCAAUACAUUGAUGGCGACCGGCAAACGGGUGCGGAACACGUACACAACCUCCCUUUUAGUGGGGAAUAGCCCAGAGAAAUUUGGAUUAAUACCCCAUAACAUAUAGAGAUGGCAUCAUCUUAAUAUUAAAGCUUCGGCGCUAGAAGAUGGGUGUGCGGCUGAUUAGGUAGUUGGCGGGGUGACGGCCCACCAAGCCUACGAUCAGUAGCUGAUGUGAGAGCAUGAUCAGCCACACGGGCACUGAGACACGGGCCCGACUCCUACGGGAGGCAGCAGUAAGGAAUAUUGGACAAUGGACGAAAGUCUGAUCCAGCCAUGCCGCGUGAAGGAUUAAGGUCCUCUGGAUUGUAAACUUCUUUUAUUUGGGACGAAAAAAGAUCAUUCUUGAUCACUUGACGGUACCAGAUGAAUAAGCACCGGCUAACUCCGUGCCAGCCGCCGCGGUAACAC